GCGUGCCUAAUACAUGCAAGUCGAACGCUUCUUUUUCCACCGGAGCUUGCUCCACCGGAAAAAGAGGAGUGGCGAACGGGUGAGUAACACGUGGGUAACCUGCCCAUCAGAAGGGGAUAACACUUGGAAACAGGUGCUAAUACCGUAUAACAAUCGAAACCGCAUGGUUUUGAUUUGAAAGGCGCUUUCGGGUGUCGCUGAUGGAUGGACCCGCGGUGCAUUAGCUAGUUGGUGAGGUAACGGCUCACCAAGGCCACGAUGCAUAGCCGACCUGAGAGGGUGAUCGGCCACAUUGGGACUGAGACACGGCCCAAACUCCUACGGGAGGCAGCAGUAGGGAAUCUUCGGCAAUGGACGAAAGUCUGACCGAGCAACGCCGCGUGAGUGAAGAAGGUUUUCGGAUCGUAAAACUCUGUUGUUAGAGAAGAACAAGGAUGAGAGUAACUGUUCAUCCCUUGACGGUAUCUAACCAGAAAGCCACGGCUAACUACGUGCCAGCAGCCGCGGUAAUACGUAGGUGGCAAGCGUUGUCCGGAUUUAUUGGGCGUAAAGCGAGCGCAGGCGGUUUCUUAAGUCUGAUGUGAAAGCCCCCGGCUCAACCGGGGAGGGUCAUUGGAAACUGGGAGACUUGAGUGCAGAAGAGGAGAGUGGAAUUCCAUGUGUAGCGGUGAAAUGCGUAGAUAUAUGGAGGAACACCAGUGGCGAAGGCGGCUCUCUGGUCUGUAACUGACGCUGAGGCUCGAAAGCGUGGGGAGCAAACAGGAUUAGAUACCCUGGUAGUCCACGCCGUAAACGAUGAGUGCUAAGUGUUGGAGGGUUUCCGCCCUUCAGUGCUGCAGCUAACGCAUUAAGCACUCCGCCUGGGGAGUACGACCGCAAGGUUGAAACUCAAAGGAAUUGACGGGGGCCCGCACAAGCGGUGGAGCAUGUGGUUUAAUUCGAAGCAACGCGAAGAACCUUACCAGGUCUUGACAUCCUUUGACCACUCUAGAGAUAGAGCUUCCCCUUCGGGGGCAAAGUGACAGGUGGUGCAUGGUUGUCGUCAGCUCGUGUCGUGAGAUGUUGGGUUAAGUCCCGCAACGAGCGCAACCCUUAUUGUUAGUUGCCAUCAUUCAGUUGGGCACUCUAGCAAGACUGCCGGUGACAAACCGGAGGAAGGUGGGGAUGACGUCAAAUCAUCAUGCCCCUUAUGACCUGGGCUACACACGUGCUACAAUGGGAAGUACAACGAGUCGCGAAGUCGCGAGGCUAAGCUAAUCUCUUAAAGCUUCUCUCAGUUCGGAUUGUAGGCUGCAACUCGCCUACAUGAAGCCGGAAUCGCUAGUAAUCGCGGAUCAGCACGCCGCGGUGAAUACGUUCCCGGGCCUUGUACACACCGCCCGUCACACCACGAGAGUUUGUAACACCCGAAGUCGGUGAGGUAACCUUUUAGGAGCCAGCCGCCUAAGGUGGGAUAGAUGAUUGGGGUGAA
rnacentral:rRNA from 1 species